CUGGAUCCCUGCCUCGGAAACCCGGGUCCCACGCCCACAUCUGGGCCCGCACCCCCUCCCUCCCUAGCAGGGGCCCCCCUCCCGCAGGGGACCCACAGCGGGACAGGCCCCGGCGUGUAGCACAGGGCGGCGGCAGAGGUCCAGAAGCCAGGAGGGUAGAGGUGGCCCUGGAGAAAUGGGGUUUGAUGCUCCCCUCCAAGAGGGAACCGCUUGGGGACAGGCUUCAGGACUGGGACAAGUGAAUUUCAGAGAAGAAAAAGGCCUCCCACAGAGAAUGGCCAAGCCAGGUCACUGCUAUUUCCCAACAGAAAUGAAAACUGGAAUUGAGCCAUGUGGAAAGAUGGACCAGGCCACAAGAAGGUCUUCGGGACAACCCUGAAAGAGGUGACCCAGGGAGACAGAGUCCAGGGUCCUUUCAAAUCACUGCUGGCAGGAGCAAAGAUCAAGAUAGGUGAAACCUGAUAUUCAAAUGCAGGCGUGGAAAAAGAAUAGGUACAUUGAAGUGUGUUGUUUGUCUUGAUAAAUAAUCCUUCAUUAGAAAGAUUCAGAGUUCCUCUGAAUGGCAUUCCAUGCUUGGAAAUUUCCAGGGUUUACUUAUAGUUCUGUCCCUGGCGAAGAGAGAAGACACCCCUGGAGCUCAUACCACAUGAACUUCUGCCUCCUCGAAGAACUGAAGCCAUUCUCAUCCAGACGUUUUGGGUCAUCUGCAUGCGCUGGGCUCCUUCGCCCUAGUUCAGUGCUUCUCAAACUUUCAGAAUCACCUGGAGAGCUUGUGAAAAACAGAUGGCUGAGCCCCGCCCGCGGAGUUUCGGAUCCAACAGGCACAGUGGUUCAUACCUGUAAUCUCAGAGCUUUGGGAGGCCGAGGCAGGAGGAUCGUUUGAGGCCAAGAUUUCAAGGCUACAGUGAGCUAUGAUUGCACCACUGCACUCCAGCCUGGGUGACAGAGCAAGACUCGGUCUCAAAAAAAAAAAAUCAAUAAAAUCAAAAAAGCAAAUAAAUACAAGAAAUGAAACACUACAAGUCAAAUUGUAGUCUCCUUUGGAUCCCUACUGCCAGAGGCAACAACAGAUAAAUUAAAUGGAGUCUUGCACUGUCGCCUGGCCUGGAGUGAAAUGGUGCUAUCUCGGCUCACUGCAACUUCUGCCUCCCGGGUUCAAGCGAUUCUCCUGCCUCCACCUCCCGAGUAGCUGGGAUUACAGGCGCCCGCCACUACACCUGGCUAACUUUUUGUAUUUUUAGUAGAGAUGGGGUUUCGCUAUGUUGGCCAGGCUGGUCUUGAACUCCUGACCUCGUGAUCCACCCACCUUGGCCUCCCAAAGUGCUGGGAUUACAGGCAUGAGCCACCACACCUAAGAUGCACUAUUAUUUUAACCCCCACUUAAAAGGAAAAAUAUUGCCAAUUAAAUUCUGACACAAUCCUUUAUCAUUCCGACACAAUACUUUAUAAUCUUAGAUUUUUAUUUUAUACUUAUUGAAAGAAAUCUUAAACAUACAUAUUUUAUCAUACUUUUUUACCAUACCAUAUUUUAGCAAAUCUAAAAUUCCAUCUAUUUUAAGAUGCAAUCUGAUUUCAGAAAGAUUUUUGGCCAGGUGCAGUGGCUCAUACCUGUAAUCCCAGCACUGUGGGAGACCCAGGCAGGCAGAUACUUGAGCCAGGGAGUUCCAGACUAGCUUGGACAACAUGACAAAACCCCAUCUCUACAAAAAAUAGAAAAAUUAGCUGGGCGUGGUGGUGUGUGCCUGUAAUCCCAACUACUCGAGAGGCUGAGGUGGGAGGAUGGCCUGAGCCCAGAGAGGUCGAGGUUACAGUGAGCUGUGAUUGUGCCAUUGCACUCCAGCUUGGGCAACAAAGUGAUACCCUGUCUCAGAAAAAAAGGAAGAAAGAAUUUUUUUACUGUGUGUCUUAGAAUCAAUGAAUUAUG
rnacentral:lncRNA from 10 species